UGCAGGCCUGUGUGAGCCCCCCGCCCGCCGGCGCCUCGCUGCCCCCCGGAGUCCUGGCGUUUUUGUUGAUCAAUCGGGAACAGAGAAGCAGCCAGAGCUCAGUGCAGCUCCCAGCAUCAGCGGGGGAGGCCCCCCUGCAGGAGCCAUUCCAGGCUGGCUUUCCACACCACGCCCGGCACUGCUACAUAGUGAGCACCACCCACAAGGCCUACGCCAUCCAUGCCCCCCAGCACCAGCUCUUCCUGCUCCUGGCAUCACACGUGCCCACCUUCAGCCUGCGGUCCCUAGCCACCCGUGCCCUGCAGCACCUCAUCGGGGACGCUACCUGCUGAUGUGCUGGCCUGGCCCCUGGGUUCCACUGCGGUGCCACAACAGGGCCAGGAAUGGAUAUCUGGGGGGCUACAGGGAUUGUUGCAGGACUCUUGUACAUACCAGAGAACAGCCAGACUGGGCCAGACCCAUGGGCUGUGAGGGCCAGGGUCCUGGCUGCCCACACGAGCCAGCAGUGUGUGGCCCUAGUUCUGCUGUGAACCCUGGUGUAGACUUGGCCUGCACUGCAUCCUGCAGCAGGGAGUUCCACACGUCAGGUGCAGAAAUACAUUCCUGUUUGUUUUAAA